rnacentral:rRNA from 1 species
GACGAACGCUGGCGGCGUGCCUAAUACAUGCAAGUCGAACGCAGUGGGGACGGGUGAGUAACACGUGGGUAACCUCCCAUCAGAGGGGAUAACACUUGGAAACAGGUGCUAAACCGAUACUGAUGGAUGGCCCCGCGGUGCAUUAGCUAGUGGGUGAGGUAACGGCUCACCAAGGCCACGAUGCAUAGCCGACCUGCGAGGUGGAUCGGCCACAACGGGACUGGGCCACGGCCCAGACGACUACGUGAGGCAGCAGUAGUGAAUCUUCUGCAAUGGACGAAAGUCUGACCGAGCAACGGCGCGUGAGUGAAGAAGGUUUUCGGAGCGUAAAACUCUGUUUUUAGAGAAGCGGUAUCUAACCAGAAAGCCACGGCUAACUACGUGCCAGCAGCCGCGGUAAUAC